rnacentral:rRNA from 1 species
GACGAACGCUGGCGGCGUGCCUAAUACAUGCAAGUUGAGCGCUGAAGGUUGGUACUUGUACCAACUGGAUGAGCAGCGAACGGGUGAGUAACGCGUGGGGAAUCUGCCUUUGAGCGGGGGACAACAUUUGGAAACGAAUGCUAAUACCGCAUAAAAACUUUAAACACAAGUUUUAAGUUUGAAAGAUGCAAUUGCAUCACUCAAAGAUGAUCCCGCGUUGUAUUAGCUAGUUGGUGAGGUAAAGGCUCACCAAGGCGAUGAUACAUAGCCGACCUGAGAGGGUGAUCGGCCACAAUGGGACUGAGACACGGCCCAAACUCCUACGGGAGGCAGCAGUAGGGAAUCUUCGGCAAUAGACGAAAGUCUGACCGAGCAACGCCGCGUGAGUGAAGAAGGUUUUCGGAUCGUAAAACUCUGUUGGUAGAGAAGAACGUUGGUGAGAGUGGAAAGCUCAUCAAGUGACGGUAACUACCCAGAAAGGGACGGCUAACUACGUG